GCCUUCAUAGUUUAACGGAUAGAAUACAGGCCUCCGAAGCCUGGGGUAGAGGUUCAAUUCCUCUUGAAGGCA
rnacentral:tRNA from 1 species